rnacentral:rRNA from 1 species
GAGGUAUUGAAAUGAGACUUUAAAUGAGUGCUAAGAGAAUGAUUGAACAAUUAGAAACUUUCUUUAAUUAAAUAAUUAAAUUUAAUUUUUUAAUGCAAAAGUUAAAAUAAAAUUUAGGGACAAGAAGACCCUAUGAAUUUUUUAUUUAUUUAAAUAUAWAWWAAAUUUUUAAAUAAAUUUGAUUGGGGCGAUGUAAAAAGAAUAAAUAUCUUUUUUUAUAAAAUUAAAUUAGUUCCGUUUAUAGCGAUUUUUUGAAAAAAAUACUCUAGGGAUAACAGCGUAAA